GCCAGCCUGUGGUCCGCCUUUGUCACAAGGUGCUGUUUAUUCUGCCUGGAAGUCCAAGGACAGGACAAACCAGCUAAAUGAACCUUUUAUUCCUCCCAUUCUCUGGCAGGAAUUCCUUGGGUCAAAAACAUUUAUUAAUAUUAGAUUAAGGGAGAGGCAUCAGAACUCUCCAAAAGAAGCUUUCCUCACACUGUGGCAAACCUGUAAUGUAAAAGGAACCUCAAACUGUCCAAGAGCUGGCUGGCCGCAGGGAGAAGAACGUGCCGGUGGCCGUUUCCUCCGAUCUGACCCCAUGAUGCUCUCCUCCUAAGGCCAGCCUUAGUUGAAGACAGAGGACACCCAGGUUUGAUUCCUGCGUUGGGAAGAUCUCCUGGAGAAGAACAUGGCAACCCACUCCAGUAUUCUUACCUGGAGAAUUCCAUGGACAGAGGAGCCUGAAGAGCUACCAUCCAUGGGGUCACAAAGAGUUGGACAUGACUGAGCACACACACAAGCAAUACGUUUUAUAAACUCCUAUAUCCUUUAUUUGUGCCAUGUGCUGAAACAUCUGUGAAUUGGCAUCAUGGGCCAGAAAACCAAGCAACAUACACUGUUCUAUUUCCUCGAAAUCAGUCUUCUCCCCUGGAGUUGAGCUCCUAUUGAAUACUAAUUCUAUGUCCAUUUCAUCAAAGCCUUCUUCAAUCCCUUUUUAGAGUCAAAAAUAAAGAUCUGGAUAAAACCCAACUAUCUGUAACUUAAUCCUGUUGAUUUCAAAACCCUUAGCACAAAAGGAAAAUAAGGCCCAAUAACUUUAAGGCACAUGCAUUCUGCAUAUGUUUUCUCCAAAGAUACAGGGUCUUGGGUCUUAAAAGGCUUAAGCUUGAAGUUUGCAACUUUGAUAAUAAAGGCUGUUUUGUGUUUCAACAGCAUCUGAUGUUUAAAGAUUAAUCUGUCUCUAAAUCCAUCCUGAGGAGAGCCCAGAUGUGGUAAAUAGAGAUGA